rnacentral:lncRNA from 1 species
AGACCUUACCCCAGAGUUACCACACAAUGCAUGCUGUGUCCCUGCAUCACCAAAAUACAACUCAAACUCCUCAGACACACUCUGAUAAAUAGACAUACCUGACAAUGUACAGCUUGGCAUCAUAGCAGGAAAAACUGGCUCUACAACAGAUUUAUUCUACAACAGACACACUCAGGCUGUAGAGACACCUAAUCUUUCUUUAAGGUAUUCAGACCCACCCUUUUGGGCACAGUCACAGAUGUGAUCCAGGAUACCCUCACCCAUCCCACAAUACUGAUGCAACCCACAGCGUACAAACACAUCCCACAGCAUAACACUCUAAGCCCACAGUGCUCAGAAAUGUCAGGCACACAUUUGCCAUACAGAUUUACUUCACACACAAAAAACACAGCCAGGUGGGUGGCUCAUGCCUGUAAUCCCAGCACUUUGGGAGUCCGAGGCGGGCGGAUCACAAGGUCAGGGGUUCAGGACCAGCCUGUCCAACAUGGUGAAACCCCGUCUCUA